UACGUAGGUGGCGAGCGUUGUCCGGAUUUACUGGGCGUAAAGGGCGCGUAGGCGGCCUCCGCAAGUCAAUUGUGAAAUCUCCGGGCUUAACUCGGAAAGGUCAACUGAUACUGCGGGGCUAGAGUGCGGAAGGGGCAACUGGAAUUCUUGGUGUAGCGGUGAAAUGCGUAGAUAUCAAGAGGAACACCUGCGGCGAAGGCGGGUUGCUGGGCCGACACUGACGCUGAGGCGCGAAAGCUAGGGGAGCGAACGGG
rnacentral:rRNA from 1 species